rnacentral:rRNA from 1 species
GUACACGCUGUGACUAGCAUAUCAAUAAGCGGAGGAAAAGAAACUAACAAGGAUUCCCCUAGUAACGGCGAGUGAAGCGGGAAGAGCUCAAAUUUGAAAUCUUAAAGGGUUUCCCUUUACGAAUUGUAGUUUAAAGAAGUGUUUUCUGUUGAGGUUUUGGUAAAAGUUCUUUGGAAUAGGACAUCAUAGAGGGUGAGAAUCCCGUAUUUGACCUUUACUUUCAACUUUGUGAUACACUUUCAAAGAGUCGGAUUGUUUGGGAAUGCAGUCCAAAAUGGGUGGUAAAUUUCAUCUAAGGCUAAAUAUUGGCGAGAGACCGAUAGCGAACAAGUACCGUGAGGGAAAGAUGAAAAGAACUUUGAAAAGAGAGUUAAACAGUACGUGAAAUUGUCAAAAGGGAAGCGUUUGACACCAGUGUUGUUUUUCUGAAAAUCAAUUAAAGAACUGUUUAUGCUAAGUUGUUUAGACUUUAUCAGCUAACUGUUUAGUUUUGAGCUUUUCUUUAAUGCACUUUUCAGUUAACAAGUCAACAUCAAUUUCUUUUGCUGUAAAAAAGCUUGAGGAAGGUGGCUUGAGAUUCGUCCUAAGUGCUUAUAGCCUCUUGCCUAUGCAGUCGGAGAGAUUGAGGUCUGCAGCGUAGAUCCUUCGGGGCUAAAUGCAUUUGUGCUAAGUUAUAGCAUUUUAUAGACAACUUGUUGACUAUGAUUUGUCUUGUAGCUUACUCGCUUAUGUUAUUUUACCUACGCUUAGGAUGUUGACGCGCGUGUGUGCGUG